AGCCAUUGGUGUGAACACUCGGAUUUGAAUGGAUGUUUGGGUGUGAACACCAAGUAUUGAAUAGUUGGUUGAUCAGCUUAAAACUAAGUUCAAUGAUUGUUCAUCCUUUCAUGAAUGGACACCUAGGAGAGUGUAUUCAACAACUUCAAAAUGCAUAAACAAUCGAGUGCAAUGUCCCUUCUUAAAUGAGUCCAAUGAAUCUGGAAAUGGUGUAUGUAUGUCUAGC
rnacentral:lncRNA from 1 species